AUUGAACGCUGGCGGCAUGCCUUACACAUGCAAGUCGGACGAGUGGCGGACGGGUGAGUAAUGUAUGGGAACGUGCCUGAUGUAGGGGGAUAACUGUCCGAAAAGGUAGCUAAUACCGCAUAAUAUGCGAUCGGCCGACGUGGGAUUAGCUGGUAGGUGGGGUAAAGGCACACCAAGGCGACGAUCCGUAGCGGGUCUGAGAGGAUGAUCAGCCACACUGGGACUGAGACACGGCCCAGACUCCUACGGGAGGCAGCAGUGGGGAAUAUUGGACAAUGGGCGCAAGCCUGAUACAGCCAUGCCGCGUGUCUGAAGAAGGCCUUCGGGUUGUAAAGGACUUUUGGCAGGGAAGCGGUACCUGCAGAAUAAGCACCGGCUAACUACGUGCCAGCAGCCGCGGUAAUAC
rnacentral:rRNA from 1 species